GAUGAACGCUGGCGGCGUGCCUAAUACAUGCAAGUCGAGCGAACAGACGAGGAGCUUGCUCCUCUGACGUUAGCGGCGGACGGGUGAGUAACACGUGGAUAACCUACCUAUAAGACUGGGAUAACUUCGGGAAACCGGAGCUAAUACCGGAUAAUAUAUUGAACCGCAUGGUUCAAUAGUGAAAGACGGUUUUGCUGUCACUUAUAGAUGGAUCCGCGCCGCAUUAGCUAGUUGGUAAGGUAACGGCUUACCAAGGCAACGAUGCGUAGCCGACCUGAGAGGGGGGUCGGCAACACGGGAACGGAGACACGGACCAGAAGCAGACGGGAGGCAGCAGGGGGGAAUCAGCCGCAAGGGUCGAAAGACGGACGGAGAAAGGCAGAGGGAGUGAAGAAGGUCUUCGAAACGUAAAACUCUGUUAUUAGGGAAGAAAAAAAGUGAAACGAACGAUGCACGUCUUGACGGGACAGAAUCAGAAAGCCACGGCUAACCACGAG
rnacentral:rRNA from 1 species